AGCCAACCCAACUGCGAGUGCGUCACCAGGAAACUGUUUGCCGCGUCCGCCUGCUGCCUCAAGGGUCAAAGGAAUCAACAAUUAUUACAAACACUGCAAGAAACUAUAGUGGCAGCACCACGACAGCCACCCCAGCUUGUUUAAUUGGAAGCAACUUAACAAACGGUUCCAGUGCCUAAAUCCAGAGAGCUUCUGGGGCAAAGCGAAGAUUGGCGAGUUGAAGACGCAUUUUAACUCCUACGUCAUAACAGGGCUAACUGAUGAAGAAAUAGCGGAACUUCUGACAGUGCAAGAUCCAAAUAUUUCUGAAUUUGUGUUGUCUGAAAAAGAAGAUGAGCUUGAUAUAGCUGUCAGAUCACAAAAUCGAGCAGCUGAUGAGUCAUCAUCCGAAUCAGAUGACGAAGGGAUACCUUUGAGUGAGAUCCAACACAGGGGUGCAAAAUGGAAACACACUACAGACUGUUUCAGAAACUGGCGAAUUGUGAGGAGGCCCAAGAGGAAGUUCAGCUAGCAGGUACAGCGAGGGUUUUCUAUCCCUCACAAGGGUCUGCCUGGCUCAGUGGGCUGGAAUACACUACGAUUCACUGGGCCCACCAUGUGCUGAUCUCCUCUACGCACAGCUUGAGAAACUGCAGGCGUUGACUGGUACCACGGCCAGCGAACCCCCGUAGGCGCUGGAGCGGCAGUCUAUCCGCUAAAAGAGUCGCUGUGCACUAUAAAUCAAACAUUUGCAGUGUAAAUGCACACAGUGAGCACAUGCAGAUACAGUUCAUUUUUGUAAAUGGACACAUGACUGUACUUAAUUUUACUUUGAUUUUAGAAGCCCCAAGGAAUGCAUAUGAUACUUCACACAAACUUUUCUAGAUAAAAACUCGGCAGUCACCAUCAUUUAAUAAAGUAACCUACCACUCACUAAUUUGUAGUCACUACAUUCAUUUAGAGUAAUUUACUUAGUUUAUGCUUUUUUUCAC